AUCUCGAGGAGCUUGCUCCUUGAGAUUAGCGGCGGACGGGUGAGUAACACGUGGGCAACCUGCCUGUAAGACUGGGAUAACACCGGGAAACCGGUGCUAAUACCGGAUAAUACUUUCCCUCCCAUGAGGGAAAGCUGAAAGUCGGUUUCGGCUGACACUUACAGAUGGGCCCGCGGCGCAUUAGCUAGUUGGUGAUGUUCCGGCUCACCAAGGGAGAGAAGCGUAGCCGACCUGAGAGGGUGAUCGGCCACACUUCAUCCUCACACGACGAUGNCUCNUNCUUNAAAUCGNAGUGGGAUGUUCU
rnacentral:sRNA from 1 species